rnacentral:rRNA from 1 species
UACGUAGGGUGCGAGCGUUAAUCGGAAUUACUGGGCGUAAAGCGUGCGCAGGCGGUUCGUUACGUCAGAUGUGAAAGCCCCGGGCUCAACCUGGGAACUGCAUUUGAAACUGGCGGGCUUGAGUGUGGCAGAGGGGGGUGGAAUUCCGCGUGUAGCAGUGAAAUGCGUAGAGAUGCGGAGGAACACCGAUGGCGAAGGCAGCCCCCUGGGCCAACACUGACGCUCAGGCACGAAAGCGUGGGGAGCAAACAGG